rnacentral:rRNA from 1 species
AGCAGCCGCGGUAAUUCCAGCUCCAAUAGCGUAUAUUAAAGUUGUUGCAGUUAAAAAGCUCGUAGUUGAAUUUCGGGGUUAGUAGGUUGGUCAUGCCUCUGGUAUGUACUGGUCUCACUGAUUCCUCCUUCCUGAUGAGCCGUAAUGCCAUUAAUUUGGUGUUGCGGGGAAUUUGGACUGUUACUUUGAAAAAAUUUAGAGUGUUUAAAGCAAGCUAACGCUUGAAUACAUUAGCAUGGAAUAAUAAAAUAGGACGUUCGAUCCUAUUUUGUUGGUUUCUAGGAUUGACGUUAUGAUUAAUAGGGAUAGUUGGGGGCAUUAGUAUUCAAUUGUCAGAGGUGAAAUUCUUGGAUUUAUUGAAGACUAACUACUGCGAAAGCAUUUGCCAAGGAUGUUUUCAUUAAUCAAGAACGAAAGUUAGGGGAUCGAAGACGAUCAGAUACCGUCGUAGUCUUAACCAUAAACUAUGCCGACUAGGGAUCGGAUGAUGUUAAUUUUUUUAAUGACUCAUUCGGCGCCU